GAUGAAGAACGCAGCGAAAUGCGAUAAGUAAUGUGAAUUGCAGAAUUCAGUGAAUCAUCGAAUCUUUGAACGCACAUUGCGCCCGCCAGUAUUCUGGCGGGCAUGCCUGUUCGAGCGUCAUUACAACCCUCAGGCCCCCGGGCCUGGCGUUGGGGAUCGGCGGAAGCCCCCUGCGGGCACAACGCCGUCCCCCAAAUACAGUGGCGGUCCCGCCGCAGCUUCCAUUGCGUAGUAGCAACACUCGCAUGCGGAGCGCGGCGCGGCCACGCCGUAAAACCCCCGACUUUCUGAACGUUGACCUCGGAUCAGGUAGGAAUACCCGCUGAACUUAAGCAUAUCAAUAAGCGGAGGA
rnacentral:misc_RNA from 1 species